AUUAAACGCUGGCGGCAUGCCUUACACAUGCAAGUCGAACGGCAGCACGGGGGCAACCUUGGUGGCGAGUGGCGAACGGGUGAGUAAAGCAUCGGAACGUGCCCUGGAGUGGGGGAUAACGUAGCGAAAGUUACGCUAAUACCGCAUAUUCUGUGAGCAGGAAAGCAGGGGAUCGCAAGACCUUGCGCUCUGGGAGCGGCCGAUGUCGGAUUAGCUAGUUGGUGGGGUAAAGGCCUACCAAGGCGACGAUCCGUAGCGGGUCUGAGAGGAUGAUCCGCCACACUGGGACUGAGACACGGCCCAGACUCCUACGGGAGGCAGCAGUGGGGAAUUUUGGACAAUGGGCGAAAGCCUGAUCCAGCCAUGCCGCGUGAGUGAAGAAGGCCUCGGUUGUAAAGGACU
rnacentral:rRNA from 1 species